UUGGAGGGCAAGUCUGGUGCCAGCAGCCGCGGUAAUUCCAGCUCCAAUAGCGUAUAUUAAAGUUGUUGCAGUUAAAAAGCUCGUAGUUGAAUUUCGGGGUUUUUCCAUUGGUCGGGCCUUACGGUCCGUACUGGUGUGAUGGAUUCCUACCUUCUGAAUAACCUUCAUGCCAUUAAUUUGGUGCGUUGGGGAAGCAGAGCUGUUACCUUGAAAAAAUUGGAGUGCUUAAAGCAGGCAAGUGCCUGAAUACAUUAGCAUGGAAUAAUGAAAUAGGACGGCAUGGUUCUAUUUUGUUGGUUUCUAGGAUCACCGUAAUGAUUAAUAGGGAUAGUUGGGGGCAUUAGUAUUCAAUUGUCAGAGGUGAAAUUCUUGGAUUUAUUGAAGACUAACUUCUGCGAAAGCAUUUGCCAAGGAUGUUUUCAUUAAUCAAGAACGAAAGUUAGGGGAUCGAAGACGAUCAGAUACCGUCGUAGUCUUAACCAUAAACUAUGCCGACUAGGGAUCGGACGAUGUUAAUUUUUUAAUGACUCGUUCGGCGCCUUACGGGAAAC
rnacentral:rRNA from 1 species